GGGAUUGCCCUAGUAACGGCGAGUGAAGCGGCAACAGCUCAAAUUUGAAAUCUGGCUCUUUCAGAGUCCGAGUUGUAAUUUGCAGAGGGCGCUUUGGCGUUGGCAGCGGUCCAAGUUCUUUGGAACAGGACGUCACAGAGGGUGAGAAUCCCGUACGUGGUCGCUAGCCUUCGCCGUGUAAAGCCCCUUCGACGAGUCGAGUUGUUUGGGAAUGCAGCUCUAAAUGGGAGGUAAAUUUCUUCUAAAGCUAAAUACUGGCCAGAGACCGAUAGCGCACAAGUAGAGUGAUCGAAAGAUGAAAAGCACUUUGGAAAGAGAGUCAAAUAGCACGUGAAAUUGUUGAAAGGGAAGCGCUUGCAGCCAGACUUGCCUGUAGUUGCUUAUCUAGACUUUUGUCUAGUGCACUCUUCUGCGGGCAGGCCAGCAUCAGUCUAGGCGGUUGGAUAAAGGUCUCUGUCAUGUACCUCUCUUCGGGGAGGCCUUAUAGGGGAGACGACAUGCAACCAGCCUGGACUGAGGUCCGCGCAUCUGCUAGGAUGCUGGCGUAAUGGCUGUAAGCGGCCCGUCUUGAAACACGGACCAAGGAGUCUAACAUCUAUGCGAGUGUUUGGGUGUCAAGCCCAGACGCGUAAUGAAAGUGAACGGAGGUGGGAACCCUUUGGGUGCACCAUCGACCGAUCCUGAUGUCUUCGGAUGGAUUUGAGUAAGAGCAUGGCUGUUGGGACCCGAAAGAUGGUGAACUAUGCUUGAAUAGGGUGAAGCCAGAGGAAACUCUGGUGGAGGCUCGCAGCGGUUCUGACGUGCAAAUCGAUCGUCAAAUUUGGGCAUAGGGGCG
rnacentral:rRNA from 1 species